CAAUAAUGGACCACAUAUAUGACAGUGAUCCCCUAGAUUAAAAUGGAGCUAAAAAAUUUCUAUUACCUGAUGACUUGUGUUAGUUGCUUUUAAUAUUCAGUGCAAGAACAUGCUGCACAGGUUUGUAUCCUAGGGGCAGUAGGUUCUACUGUACAACCUAGGUGUGUAGUAGUCUAUACUGUUUUGGUUUGUGUAAGUGCUGUACACUCUGUGGUGCUCACACAAUGACAAAACUGUCUAACAGUGCAUUUCUCAGAAUGUAUCC
rnacentral:lncRNA from 1 species